GACGAACGCUGGCGGCGUGCCUAAUACAUGCAAGUAGAACGCUGAAGAGAGGAGCUUGCUCUUCUUGGAUGAGUUGCGAACGGGUGAGUAACGCGUAGGUAACCUGCCUUGUAGCGGGGGAUAACUAUUGGAAACGAUAGCUAAUACCGCAUAACAAUGGAUGACACAUGUCAUUUAUUUGAAAGGGGCAAUUGCUCCACUACAAGAUGGACCUGCGUUGUAUUGGCUAGUAGGUGAGGUAAUGGCUCACCUAGGCGACGAUACAUAGCCGACCUGAGAGGGUGAUCGGCCACACUGGGACUGAGACACGGCCCAGACUCCUACGGGAGGCAGCAGUAGGGAAUCUUCGGCAAUGGGGGCAACCCUGACCGAGCAACGCCGCGUGGGUGAAGAAGGUUUUCGGAUCGUAAAGCUCUGUUGUAAGUCAAGAACGGGUGUGAGAGUGGAAAGUUCACACUGUGACGGUAGCUUACCAGAAAGGGACGGCUAACUACGUGCCAGCAGCCGCGGUAAUACGUAGGUCCCGAGCGUUGUCCGGAUUUAUUGGGCGUAAAGCGAGCGCAGGCGGUUUGAUAAGUCUGAAGUUAAGGCUGUGGCUCAACCAUAGUUCGCUUUGGAAACUGUCAAACUUGAGUGCAGAAGGGGAGAGUGGAAUUCCAUGUGUAGCGGUGAAAUGCGUAGAUAUAUGGAGGAACACCGGUGGCGAAAGCGGCUCUCUGGUCUGUAACUGACGCUGAGGCUCGAAAGCGUGGGGAGCGAACAGGAUUAGAUACCCUGGUAGUCCACGCCGUAAACGAUGAGUGCUAGGUGUUGGAUCCUUUCCGGGAUUCAGUGCCGCAGCUAACGCAUUAAGCACUCCGCCUGGGGAGUACGACCGCAAGGUUGAAACUCAAAGGAAUUGACGGGGGCCCGCACAAGCGGUGGAGCAUGUGGUUUAAUUCGAAGCAACGCGAAGAACCUUACCAGGUCUUGACAUCCCGAUGCUAUUUCUAGAGAUAGAAAGUUACUUCGGUACAUCGGUGACAGGUGGUGCAUGGUUGUCGUCAGCUCGUGUCGUGAGAUGUUGGGUUAAGUCCCGCAACGAGCGCAACCCCUAUUGUUAGUUGCCAUCAUUCAGUUGGGCACUCUAGCGAGACUGCCGGUAAUAAACCGGAGGAAGGUGGGGAUGACGUCAAAUCAUCAUGCCCCUUAUGACCUGGGCUACACACGUGCUACAAUGGUUGGUACAACGAGUUGCGAGUCGGUGACGGCGAGCUAAUCUCUUAAAGCCAAUCUCAGUUCGGAUUGUAGGCUGCAACUCGCCUACAUGAAGUCGGAAUCGCUAGUAAUCGCGGAUCAGCACGCCGCGGUGAAUACGUUCCCGGGCCU
rnacentral:rRNA from 1 species